UUGGAGGGCAAGUCUGGUGCCAGCAGCCGCGGUAAUUCCAGCUCCAAUAGCGUAUAUUAAAGUUGUUGCAGUUAAAAAGCUCGUAGUUGAAUUUCGAGACCGGUUUACUGGUCGUGCUUUUGUACGUACUGGUAUUAUUGGUUUCUCCUUUCUGACGAAUCGUAAUGCCAUUAAUUUGGUGUUUUGGGGAAUCAGGACUGUUACUUUGAAAAAAUUAGAGUGUUUAAAGCAGGCUCACGCUUGAAUACAUUAGCAUGGAAUAACGAAAUAGGACGUUUGAUUUUAUUUUGUUGGUUUCUAGGAUCGGCGUAAUGAUUAAUAGGGAUAGUUGGGGGCAUUAGUAUUCAAUUGUCAGAGGUGAAAUUCUUGGAUUUAUUGAAGACUAACUACUGCGAAAGCAUUUGCCAAGGAUGUUUUCAUUAAUCAAGAACGAAAGUUAGGGGAUCGAAGACGAUCAGAUACCGUCGUAGUCUUAACCAUAAACUAUGCCGACUAGGGAUCGGAUGAUGUUAAUUUUUUAAUGACUCAUUCGGCGCCUUACGGGAAAC
rnacentral:rRNA from 1 species